GCAAACUUGGUCAUUUAGAGGAAGUAAAAGUCGUAACAAGGUUUCCGUAGGUGAACCUGCGGAAGGAUCAUUAUCGAAUCCUCUGGAUGUUGCUGGCCUUUCGGGGCAUGUGCACUCCAACCUUUUUCAAUACACCUGUGAACUUAGUGUAGGUGACAAAGUCUUUGUCGCCUACGUUUUUUUAAACACACCCCUGUUAAAAAAUUGUAUCGAAUGUCUUUGUGGCCUUUCAUGGUCGACAAUAAAAUUUAAUACAACUUUCAACAAUGGAUCUCUUGGUUCUCGCAUCGAUGAAGAACGCAGC
rnacentral:misc_RNA from 1 species